rnacentral:lncRNA from 1 species
GUCCCUGGUCUGUGGCAUCAUUAUGAUUUCUUCUUCUUGGUGCAGACAUGGACCUUUUCCAUAGUCCUUCGGUCACUUUGUAGGAGUGCCCGUGCUUGCUUCCUAUUCUGUGAAUGAACUGCCGUUCCCUCUCUUUGUCUGACCACAUGGUGAUAUGGGUGGACACACUCGAGAACAUCGCCCGAAACGCUGCAAGUUUAUAUGAUAUGGGGUCCGAGGACCAUGCAGGAAUCAGUACAGGAACAUAUGUAGGUUUUCUGUACACCUUUGUGACGUACUCUCCCAUUUCUGUAUGUAUCUCCACAUCUAGAAAGUGGAAGUCAU